UACGUAGGGUGCGAGCGUUGCCCGGAAUUAUUGGGCGUAAAGAGCUCGUAGGCGGCUUGUCGCGUCGGAUGUGAAAGCCCGGGGCUUAACUUCGGGUCUGCAUUCGAUACGGGCAGGCUAGAGUUCGGUAGGGGAGAUCGGAAUUCCUGGUGUAGCGGUGAAAUGCGCAGAUAUCAGGAGGAACACCGGUGGCGAAGGCGGAUCUCUGGGCCGAUACUGACGCUGAGGAGCGAAAGCGUGGGGAGCGAACAGG
rnacentral:rRNA from 1 species